rnacentral:rRNA from 1 species
UACGGAGGGUGCAAGCGUUAUCCGGAUUUAUUGGGUUUAAAGGGUCCGUAGGCGGAUCCGUAAGUCAGUGGUGAAAUCUCAUAGCUUAACUAUGAAACUGCCAUUGAUACUGCGGGUCUUGAGUGAGAUUGAGGUAGCUGGAAUAAGUAGUGUAGCGGUGAAAUGCAUAGAUAUUACUUAGAACACCAAUUGCGAAGGCAGGUUACCAAGUCUUAACUGACGCUGAUGGACGAAAGCGUGGGGAGCGAAC